UACGUAGGGUGCAAGCGUUUGUCCGGAAUUAUUGGGCGUAAGAGCUCGUAGGCGGUUUGUCGCGUCUGCUGUGAAAACCCGAGGCUCAACCUCGGGUCUGCAGUCGAUACGGGCAAACUAGAGUAUUGCAGGGGAGACUGGAAUUCCUGGUGUAGCGGUGAAAUGCGCAGAUAUCAGGAGGAACACCGGUGGCGAAGGCGGGUCUCGUGGGCCGAUACUGACGCUGAGGAGCGAAAGCGUGGGGAGCGAACAGG
rnacentral:rRNA from 1 species